GUCAAGCGAAUAAGCGCACACGGUGGAUGCCUUGGCGGUCAGAGGCGAUGAAGGACGUGACAGCCUGCGAAAAGCGUGGGGGAGCUGGCAAUAAGCUUUGAUCCCGCGAUGUCCGAAUGGGGAAACCCACUGCUUCGGCAGUAUCCUGCAGUGAAUACAUAGCUGCUGGAGGCGAACCCGGUGAACUGAAAUAUCUAAGUAACCGGAGGAAAAGAAAUCAACCGAGAUUCCCUAAGUAGUGACGAGCGAACGGGGACUAGCCCUUAAGCUGGAAUGGUUCUAGAAAAACAACCUGGAAAGGUUGGCCAUAGAAGGUGAUAGCCCUGUAUUUGAAAGGGCCACUCCAGUGAAGACGAGUAAGGCGGGGCACGUGAAACCCUGUCUGAACAUGGGGGGACCAUCCUCCAAGGCUAAAUACUCCUGACCGACCGAUAGUGAACCAGUACCGUGAGGGAAAGGCGAAAAGAACCCCUGUGAGGGGAGUGAAAUAGAACCUGAAACCGUAUACGUACAAGCAGUGGGAGCCCUUCGGGGUGACUGCGUACCUUUUGUAUAAUGGGUCAGCGACUUAUAUUCUGUAGCAAGGUUAACCGAAUAGGGGAGCCGUAGGGAAACCGAGUCUUAAUAGGGCGUCUAGUUGCAGGGUAUAGACCCGAAACCGAGUGAUCUAUCCAUGAGCAGGUUGAAAGUGACGUAACAGUUACCGGAGGACCGAACCCACUGUCGUUGAAAAGCCAGGGGAUGACUUGUGGAUAGGGGUGAAAGGCUAAUCAAACUCGGUGAUAGCUGGUUCUCCCCGAAAGCUAUUUAGGUAGCGCCUCGGACGAACACCAUUGGGGGUAGAGCACUGUUUCGGCUAGGGGGUCAUCCCGACUUACCAAACCGAUGCAAACUCCGAAUACCGAUGAGUGAUAUCCGGGAGACAGACGGCGGGUGCUAACGUCCGUCGUCAAGAGGGAAACAACCCAGACCGCCAGCUAAGGUCCCUAAAAUUGGCUAAGUGGGAAACGAAGUGAGAAGGCUAAAACAGUCAGGAUGUUGGCUUAGAAGCAGCCACCCUUUAAAGAAAGCGUAAUAGCUCACUAGUCGAGUCGGCCUGCGCGGAAGAUGUAACGGGGCUCAAACUAGGAGCCGAAGCUGCGGAUUUAAUUGUUUCAAUUAAGUGGUAGGGGAGCAUUGUGUAAGCCUGUGAAGGUGUGUUGUAAAGCAUGCUGGAGGUAUCACAAGAGCGAAUGCUGACGUGAGUAACGACAAUGCGAGUGAAAAGCUCGCACGCCGGAAGACCAAGGGUUCCAGUCCAACGUUAAUCGGGGCUGGGUGAGUCGACCCCUAAGGCGAGGCCGAAAGGCGUAGUCGAUGGGAAAUCGGUUAAUAUUCCGAUACUUGUUUAUGAUGCGAUGGAGGGACGGAGAAGGUUAUGCCAGCCUGGCGAUGGUUGUCCAGGUGGAAGGAUGUAGUUAGGUUUAGUAGGCAAAUCCG
rnacentral:rRNA from 1 species